UUUCCCUUCUUGGGUGGGACAUUUGGAAAGAAGGCUGCCAGAAAUGGCUGUGACCCUUCUUCUAGCCUUUCUCUGGGGUGUGGUUUGGAGCUCAGAUCUCACAGACCUAAACACAGGUGAGAUCAGACUAGUGAACGGUUCAAGUUGCUGCAGCGGAAGAGUGGAAGUGCUCUAUAAUGGAACAUGGGGCACUGUUUGUGAUGAUAACUGGGAAAUGGAGGAUGCCAGAGUUGUGUGUCAGCAACUGGGCUGUCCAUUUGCAAUAUCAGCCCCACAUGGAGCACAUUUUGGAAGAGGAACUGACCCAAUCUGGCUGGAUGAGGUCAAGUGUAAAGGUUCAGAAUCAGCACUCAGUCAGUGCCCAGCAAGGCCUUGGGGAGAACAUGACUGCAACCAUGGAGAAGAUGCUGGUGUCAUAUGCUCAGAGGUAAGGCUGGUGAAUGGUCCAGCUCCCUGUGCUGGCCGGGUCGAGGUGCUCCGUAACAAAGAAUGGGGAACAGUGUGUGAAAAUGGCUGGGACAUGAACGAAGCCCAUGUUGUGUGCCAGGAAGUGGGCUGUGGAAAAGCUUUAGCAGCACCAGGUGGAGCCAAGUUUGGACAAGGAUCUGGUUCCAUUUGGAUGGACGAGGUCAACUGCACGGGAUCCGAAGACAGUCUAAGCGAAUGCCCAGCAACCCCCUUGGCAGUACACAGCUGUGACCACAGCAAAGAUGCAAGUGUGGAGUGUGCAGAAAUACCUGAGAUCAGAUUAGUGAAUGGCCACAGUCGCUGUUCUGGGAGAGUUGAGAUAUUCCAUGAGAAACGAUGGGGAACUGUAUGUGAUGGUGACUGGGACCUUGAAGACGCCAAGGUUGUGUGUCGUUACCUUGAAUGUGGAAGUGCUUUAUCAGCCCCACAAGGCUCUCAUUUUGGUGAAGGAUCUGGUCCCAUUUGGCUAGAUGGUGUUAGCUGCACAGGGACAGAGAACGCUAUUAGCAAAUGCCCUGCAAAAGUGUGGGGGAAUAGUAACUGUUCCCACAAAGAAGAUGCUGGUGUUGUAUGUGGAGAGGUCCGUCUAACGAAUGGCUCAAAUCGCUGCUCUGGCAGAGUUGAAGUGUAUCACAAUGAACAGUGGGGGACUGUUUGUGAUGAAGGAUGGGAUCUAUGGGAGUCUGAAGUUGUCUGCCAAGAACUGGAGUGUGGAAAGGCCUUAUCAGCACUGGGUGGAGCACACUAUGGCCAAGGAUCUGGUACCAUCUGGCCGGACAGAGUUAACUGCAGAGGAAAUGAAACAGCCCUCCGAGAAUGCCCCAAAAGUCCCUGGAGAGAUCUCGACUGUGACCACACAAGAGAUGCAAGUGUGGAGUGCUCAAAUCACAUCAGAUUAGUGAACGGUUCAGAUCGUUGUUCUGGAAGAGUGGAGGUGUUCCACAAUGGGCACUGGGGGACUGUGUGUGAUGAUGACUGGGAUAUCAAUGAUGCCCAAGUUGUGUGCUGGGAACUUGAUUGUGGAGUAGCCCUGGAAGCUCCACAAGGAGCUCACUUUGGAAAGGGAACAGACCACAUUUGGCUGGAUAAUGUCAACUGUAAAGGGACAGAAGCGACCCUCAAAGACUGCCAGUUUGAAGGCUGGGGAGAACAUAAUUGCAACCAUAAAGAAGAUGCUGGUGUGAUUUGCUCAGCCCUCAGACUGGUGAAUGGCUCAAGUCGCUGCUCCGGGAGAGUGGAGAUAUUCCACAAUCAUCAGUGGGGGACCAUAUGUGAUGACGACUGGAGCAUGAAAGAAGCUGAAGUUGUCUGCAGAGAAAGAGGCUGUAGUGCUGCUUUAAAAGCCCAUACAAAGGCUUGGUUUGGACAAGGAUCAGGACCCAUCUGGCAAGAUGAUGUUAACUGUGUUGGAACAGAAACUUCCCUCAGUGAAUGCAUAGUGGGCCCUUGGGGUCCCAAAAACUGUCACCAUGGAGAAGAUGUUGGUGUGGAGUGUACAGAAAUCAGGUUAGUGAAUGGCCCCAAUCGCUGUUCUGGGAGAGUUGAGAUACUCCAUGAGAAACGAUGGGGAACUAUCUGUGAUGAUAACUGGGACCUUGAAGAUGCCAACGUUGUGUGCCGUCAUCUUGGCUGUGGAGCUGCUUUAUCAGCCCCACGAGUCUCUUAUUUUGGAGAUGGAUCAGGUCCCAUAUGGCUAGAUGAAGUUAACUGCACAGGGCAAGAAAACUCCAUAAGCAGUUGCCCUGCAGGGCAGUGGAGGAAGCAUGAUUGUUCCCACCAUGAAGAUGCUGGUGUAGUAUGUGGAGACAUCCGUCUAAUGAAUGGCUCAAAUCGCUGUUCUGGGAGGAUCGAAGUGUUUCACAAUGAGCAGUGGGGAACCAUUUGUGAUAAUGGAUGGGAUAUACAAAAUGCCCAAGUUGUGUGCCGAGAGCUGAAGUGCGGAGAUGCCUUAUCAACAUUUGGUGGAGCAUAUUAUGGUCCAGGACUGGGAACCAUCUGGCUGGACAGAGUUGACUGCACAGGAAAUGGAACAGCCCUUGGAGAAUGCCCAAAAGGUCCUUGGGGGGAGCAUACUUGUGACCACAGGAGGGAUGCAAGUGUGGAGUGCUUAGACCCAAGGGAGAUCAGAUUGGUGAAUGGUUCGAACAGUUGCUCUGGGAGAGUUGAGGUGCUCCACAAUGACCAGUGGGGGACUGUUUGUGAUGAAGAAUGGAACAUCUACAGUGCCCAAGUCGUGUGCAGAGAACUUGGCUGUGGAAAAGCAGUAUCAGCCCCCAAAGGAGCUCACUUUGGAGAGGGGAGUGGUCGCAUCUGGCUGGGUUUUGUCUAUUGUUAUGGGACAGAAUCUUCCCUCAAGGACUGCCGGAAAAACCGUUGGGGAGACCAUAACUGUAACCACCAAGAAGAUGUUGGUAUGGUGUGCUCAACUAUCCGGCUAAUAAAUGGCUCUAAUGACUGCUCAGGAAGGGUCGAAGUGUAUCACAAUGAGCAGUGGGGAACUAUUUGUGAUAAUGGCUGGGAUAUACAAGAUGCCCAAGUUGUGUGCCAAGAGCUGAACUGUGGAGAUGCCUUAUCAGCAUUUGGUGGAGCACACUAUGGCCCAGGAUCGGGAACCAUCUGGCUGGACAGAGUUGACUGCACAGGAAAUGAAAUGGCCCUUGGAGAAUGCCCAAAAAGUCCCUGGGGAGAGCAUACUUGUGAUCAUAGGAGGGAUGCACAUGUGGAGUGCUCAGAUGUAAGAGAGAUCAGAUUGGUGAACAGCUCAAGUAGGUGCUCUGGGAGAGUUGAGGUGCGCUACAGUGGCCAGUGGGGGACUGUGUGUGAUGAUGACUGGAAUAUCAAUAGUGCCCAAGUUGUGUGCAGAGAACUUGGCUGUGGAAAAGCAAUAUCAGCUCCACAUGGAGCACACUUUGGAGAAGGAAAAGAUCCCAUCUGGUUGGACAAUGUGAAAUGUGAUGGGACUGAAGCUGCCCUCAAGGACUGCCGGAAAAAACCUUGGGGAGACCAUAACUGUAAACACCAAGAAGAUGCUGGUGUGGUGUGCUCAGACAUCCGGCUAAUAAAUGGCUCUAAUGACUGCUCAGGAAGGUUGGAAGUGUAUCACAAUGAGCAAUGGGGAACCAUUUGUGAUAAUGGCUGGGAUAUACAAGAUGCCCAAGUUGUGUGCCGAGAGCUGAAGUGUGGAGAUGCCUUAUCAGCAUUACAUGGAGCAUACUAUGGCCAAGGGUCAGGAACCAUCUGGUUGGACAGAAUUAACUGCUCAGGAAAUGAAACGGCCCUCAGAGAAUGCCCAAAAAGUCCCUAGGGAGAGCAUACUUGUGACCACAGGAAGGAUGUGAGUGUGGAGUGCUCAGGCCUAAGGGAGAUCAGAUUGGUGAAUGGUUCCAACAAUUGCUCUGGGAGAGUUGAAGUGCUCCACAAUGACCAGUGGGGGACUGUGUGUGACAAUGACUGGAAUAUGAAGAAUGCCCAAGUCGUGUGCAGAGAACUCGGCUGUGGAAAAGCAGUAUCAGCCCCACAUGGAGCUCACUUUGGAGAGGGGAGUGGUCGCAUUUGGUUGGACAAUGUCAAAUGUGAUGGGACAGAAGCUGCCCUCAAGGACUGCCAGAAAAACCCUUGGGGAGACCAUGACUGUAAACACCAAGCAGAGGCUGGUGUGGUGUGCUCAGGCAUCAUUCAACUGUAGUGAAGCAACUUCGAGGUGAGACAGAACUGGCAACAGUGAAAAGAGAUCAGAAGCAAGUUCCUUACUGCGAUGUUCCCACACAUGGAGUGUGCAAACUUCAAUGAGCCUGAUACAUGCAUGGUGCAGCAGGAAGAAAUGUCCAGCAACAGGAUGAAUCCUACCCCUAUCCUACCAAAGCUUGAAGCCUUCCUUUAGCCUAAGAAGACAUCCUCUAAUUUAAGUUGCCCUUCCUUCAACACAGGAUAGAUCUAGGGGUGUGUACCUCAAACAUUUUUGAAUUAAUUUUGCAUCCAGAUUUCAGGGAGGCCACACUUUUCAUUAUCCUUAAUUUUCAAGUGAGUUUUACCCUAUUGGGAAUAUGUUUCAGGGCCCAAAUGUUUUGAGAUUGUUUUGCAAAUUUUCCCUAUUCCCCUACCAAGAGACAACAGGAGCAGGGAGAAAGAGGAAGCUGUCCAUGAGAGAUUUUGCUUCUCUAGCACCUAUUGGAAACUGUGGCCCCAUUAUUUCCUAUAGGCGGUAGACAUAGCCUCCCAGGCCAGGUCUACCUUUCUCCCCACUCCUUCAGUUCCCCAAAACAUUCUUGAAAUUCCUGAAGAUAAAUUUUCAUCACGCUUAGAAUUUCAGAAGUGUUUUUGGCUGUUUCAAGUAUCCCUAAAGCGACAUAAGACACUCAAUUUUAGGUUUAAUUUUGGCUUAGGUGAAUCCAAAUAAAUCCUGACCUGGAUAGCCCAGGCAAGCUCCAUCUCAUCAGAUCAGAAGCUAAGCUGGGGGACUUCCUGUUUGGGAUCCAUGGAGGUCUAACGCAGCUCCACUUGCGGAGCUGACCGGACUGCCGUUUUAACCGGCCGGCGGGGUGAAAAUAGCCCGCGGCCGACUGCUCUCAGGCGGGGAGCAGGCAAAGAACGCUCAAGACCCUAGGGUGA